AACGAACGCUGGCAGCGUGGAUUAGGCAUGCAAGUCGAACGGGAUCCGGAAGGUAGCACUACCGGCCGGUGAGAGUGGCGGAAGGGCGAGGAGCACGUGGACAACCUGUCCCGUGGGUGGGGAUACCGUCCCGAAAGGGGCGUUAAUACCGAAUGGGGCCCCGGACCGCAUGGUCCGGCGGCCAAAGGCGGGGACCGCAAGGCCCGCCCCCCCGGGAGGGGUCCGCGCACCAUCAGCUAGACGGCGGGGUAACGGCCCACCGUGGCUUACGGUUAGCUGGUCUGAGAGGACGACCAGCCGCACUGGGACUGAGACACUGCCCAGACUCCUACGGGAGGCUGCAGUCGAGGAUCAUUCGCAAUGGGCGAAAGCCUGACGAUGCGACGCUGCGUGGAGGAUGAAGGCCCUCGGGUCGUAAACUCCUGUCAUGGGGGGCGAGGCGGAGGCGGUUAACGGCCGCCCGAGUUGACGGUACCCCAAGAGGAAGCCACGGCUAACUCUGUG
rnacentral:rRNA from 1 species